rnacentral:rRNA from 1 species
GUAGGUAAUUUGCCUUUGGGUGGGGAAUACCNCNNUNGAAACGGUUGUUAAUACCGCAUAAUGCAGCGGCAUCACAUGAUGACAGUUGUUAAAGCGGGGGAUUGGAGCAAUCCGACCUCGCGCCUGAAGAGAAGCCUGCGGCAGAUUAGGUAGUUGGUGAGGUAAUGGCUCACCAAGCCUGCGAUCUGUAACCGGCCUGAGAGGGCGGUCGGUCACACUGACACUGACAUACGGGUCAGACUCCUACGGGAGGCAGCAGUGAGGAAUAUUGCGCAAUGGACGACAGUCUGACGCAGCGACUCCNCGUGGGGGAUGAAGGCCUUCGGGUUGUAAACCCCUUUCANGAGGGAAGAUGGGACGGGAAACCGUUCGGACGGUACCUCCANAAGCAGCCACGGNCUAACUCUGUGCCAGCAGCCGCGUGUAAGACAGAGGUGGCAAGCGUUGUUCGGAUUUACUGNGCGUAAAAGCGUGCGUAUGUGGUUCNGGUAAAGACCUGUGG